UAUGGCAGAAUAGUGCGAUAAGCUUAAGAUUUAUAUACAAAGUAAAAACUUUUUUUAGA
rnacentral:tRNA from 1 species